UACUUCAAAUUAGCAAUGAAUGUCUCUAUUUCGCUGUAUUAAAGUGAAAUCUCUGAAAUGGAUUAAAUUUACACUAUUGUUCCAGUAUUAAAGGAAAAUAUCCAUUUAAAGUGGAGAAAAUUGAAUAUCUGUAUCUGUAUCUGUAUCUCUAUCUGAAUUUUCCAAAUAAAUCCAUUAUACCCUGAUUUCCCAUUUUCAAUGGGUUCACGGUACGGUGGCAACUGUGAAUAAGACGGGAGAGGAAGAAAGAGAAAGACAGCGCGUUCCGCUGGGCAAAUUCUUAUUUGAAUUCUAACUGCACAAACGAGACUCAUAUUAAGAGUAUGUGCAUGUGUUUGCUCUUGAUGACUGUGUUGGUGUCUGCUGACCCUAAACGCAACUCUAAACUCAAUGGUUUAUUUCAAUCCGCAGGCAAUGAAACCUCGCGCUCUUUAUGUGUGUUUUCCCUUGGAAAUAAAAAUCCGUACUAAUUACUGAAA